UACGUAGGGAGCAAGCGUUGUCCGGAAUCAUUGGGCGUAAAGCGCGUGUAGGCGGCUUUGCAAGUCGGAUGUGAAAGCCCACGGCUCAACCGUGGAAGUGCAUCCGAAACUGCAUGGCUGGAGUCCCGGAGAGGAAGGUGGAAUGCUUGGUGUAGCGGUGAAAUGCGUAGAUAUCAGGAGGAACACCGGUGGCGAAGGCGGCUCUCUGGACCACAACUGACGCUGAGGCGCGAAAGCUAGGGGAGCAAACAGG
rnacentral:rRNA from 1 species